rnacentral:rRNA from 1 species
AACAGCCGCGGUAAUUCCAGCUCCAAUAGCGUAUAUUAAAGUUGUUGCAGUUAAAAAGCUCGUAGUUGAAUUUCGAGAUCAAUUUGUUGGUCGUGCCUCGGUACGUACUGGCAAUUUUGAUUUCUCCCUUCUGAAGAACCAUGAUGUCAUUAAUUUGGUGUCAUGGGGAAUCAGGACCGUUACUUUGAAAAAAUUAGAGUGUUUAAAGCAGGCUCGCGCUUGAAUACAUUAGCAUGGAAUAAUGAAAUAGGACGUUUGAUUCUAUUUUAUUGGUUUCUAGGAUCGACGUAAUGAUUAAUAGGGAUAGUUGGGGGCAUUAGUAUUCAAUUGUCAGAGGUGAAAUUCUUGGAUUUAUUGAAGACUAACUACUGCGAAAGCAUUUGCCAAGGAUGUUUUCAUUAAUCAAGAACGAAAGUUAGGGGAUCGAAGACGAUCAGAUACCGUCGUAGUCUUAACCAUAAACUAUGCCGACUAGGGAUCGGAUGAUGUUAAUUUUUAAUGACUCAUUCGGCGCCUUAAC